rnacentral:rRNA from 1 species
UCCAGGCCCUACGGGGCGCAGCAGGCGCGAAACCUCCGCAAUGCACGCAAGUGCGACGGGGGAACCCCAAGUGCCACUCUUAACGGGGUGGCUUUUCAGAAGUGUAAAAAGCUUCUGGAAUAAGGGCUGGGCAAGACCGGUGCCAGCCGCCGCGGCAACACCGGCAGCUCAAGUGGUAGCCGCUUUUAUUGGGCCUAAAGCGUCCGUAGCCGGUCUGAUAAGUCUCUGGUGAAAUCCCGCAGCUUAACUGUGGGAAUUGCUGGAGAUACUAUCAUGACUCGAGGUCGGGAGAGGCUGGAGGUACUCCCAGGGUAGGGGUGAAAUCCUGUAAUCCUGGGAGGACCACCUGUGGCGAAGGCGUCCAGCUGGAACGAACCUGACGGUGAGGGACGAAAGCCAGGGGCGCGAACCGGAUUAGAUACCCGGGUAGUCCUGGCCGUAAACGAUGUGGACUUGGUGUUGGGAUGGCUUCGAGCUGCCCCAGUGCCGAAGGGAAGCUGUUAAGUCCACCGCCUGGGAAGUACGGCCGCAAGGCUGAAACUUAAAGGAAUUGGCGGGGGAGCACCACAACGCGUGGAGCCUGCGGUUUAAUUGGAUUCAACGCCGGG